CAAAUGCCUUCCGUGGCAACUUGGUGUUUUGCACGAGGGGUGUGGGGUGUCCAGGAGAUUCCCUCAGCGGCCCCCUGCUCCCCCCUGAGUACUCUUUUUGGCCCUGCUGAUGCUGUGGGGGCUUCCGAUCUCUGCAAUAACAAGCAGGACUGGUCGGAGGCACCGAGAGGUGAAGUGACUUGCUCAAGGCCACACAGCCAGGACAUGCAGAGUUGGGAAUGGAGCCGCGUGCUGUGUGGUCUGGGCCCUGCUCCGGAACAGCCCGCACCUGCCCCUCCCUGAUGACAGGUUACAGCGUGGCCACCGGCACACCGAGGGCACACGUGUGGCUCAACUUGUGAUUAACUGGACAGUACUGGCCUGGACGGUGGGCAGACAUGCAACAGAGGACGUCACAGCUAGAGGCAAUGGCCUGUCGGACGUGAACAGGCCAACUUGCAAGACGGGGGUCAGGGGGCCGCUCCUGUUUUUCUCGGACUUGGAGCAGAAUCUGGGCAGCGGGGUCCACAGGCUCGGCUCCCUUGACCGGAGUGGGCAGAGCCCUAGCGGCUUCUGCCGACCCACCUGGACCCAGGCACGGGACCUCUGCCUUCCAGGCUCCAGUCCUCAAUCUUCUCACAUGUGGGAUAGGAUCAGGGUGCUGUCUGGCACCUGGCGGGUCUCUGUGCAGCUGCCUUGUGGUCGUCUCUCCUGGUGGACACUCCAGGGGGAGGGGUGGGAGGUGGUGCCAGGGACCAGGGCCACUGUCACAAAGCACCAUGGACUGGGGCUUGCACAGCAGAAGCCCACGCUCUCCUGGUUCGGGAGGAGGAUGUUUGAGAUCAAGGCGGGGCAGGGCUGGCUCUGCUGGGUCUGAGGAUCCGCGGGGCGUCUGUCCAGCCUCUGUCCAGCCUCUGGAGGUGCUGGCGGUCUUGGUGUCCUGGGCUUGAGGACGCCUCAGCCCAUCUCUGCCUCGAUCCGCACUCAGCCGUGUUCCUGUGAGCCUGUCUGUGUCCCCGUGUUGCCUCCUUCUGAGGACACUGGCCAGCUUGGGUCAGGGCCUGCCCUAAGGACCUCACCUGAACUAAUCACAUCUGCAGAACCCUAUUUCCAAAUAAAGUCAGAUUCUGAGAGGCAGGAGUUAGAACAUGCAGGUAAAUUUUGUGGGGACCGUUCAACCCGUGACCUGGUGUAGGGGACUCAGCAGCCCUCAGCCCUGGACCUUGUGUACGUACACAGAGGCCCACAUCUGACUUGCACCUGAGGCUGGU
rnacentral:lncRNA from 9 species